CCUGGGGCUUCACCCCAGGCUGGGAUAUGCCGCGCCUUUGGCGCU
rnacentral:sRNA from 1 species